UCCGGCGUGGGGUAAUUGGCAGCCCAACAGACUUUGACUCUGUAUGUCCUGGUUCGAGUCCAGGCGCCGGAA
rnacentral:tRNA from 1 species